GUGGGGAAUCUUCCGCAAUGGACGAAAGUCUGACGGAGCAACGCCGCGUGAGUGAAGAAGGUUUUCGGAUCGUAAAGCUCUUUCGUUAGGGACGAACGUGCUCUUUGUGAAUAAUGAGGAGUAAUGACGGUACCUAAAUAAGAAGCCACGGCUAACUACGUGCCAGCAGCCGCGGUAAUACGUAGGUGGCAAGCGUUGUCCGGAAUUAUUGGGCGUAAAGCGCGCGCAGGCGGGAUAUCAAGUCUGUCUUAAAAGUGCGAGGCUCAACCUCGUGAGGGGACAGAAACUGGUAUUCUUGGGUGUCGGAGAGGAAAGUGGAAUUCCAAGUGUAGCGGUGAAAUGCGUAGAGAUUUGGAAGAACACCAGUGGCGAAGGCGACUUUCUGGACGAUGUCUGACGCUGAGGCGCGAAAGCUAGGGGAGCGAACGGGAUUAGAUACCCCAGUAGUCC
rnacentral:rRNA from 1 species